AAUCCUUACCAAACCUGAUAAAACUCCGAAUGCCAGACAUAUUACUUCAACAGACAGACUGUGGGUGCUAAGGUCCAUGGUCGAGAGGGAAAGAGCCCAGACCACCAGAUAAGGUCCCUAAAUCAUGAUUAAGUGUGAAAGGAUGUGGAGAUUCCAUAACAGCCGGGAGGUUGGCUUAGAAGCAGCCAUCCUUUAAAGAUAGCGUAACAGCUCACCGGUCUAAUAGAGUUUCUGCGCCUAAGAUGUAACGGGGCUCAAAUCAUGUACCGAAUCUGUGGAUGUAUAAUUUCUUCGGAAAUUAUAUGUGGUAGCGGAACGUUCUGUAAGCCUGUAAAGGGAUACCCGUGAGGGAUCCUGGAGGUAUCAGAAGUGCGAAUGCUGACAUAAGUAACGAUUAACAGAGUGAAAAACUCUGUCGCCGAAAAUCCAAGGGUUCCUGCGCAAGGUUAAUCCGCGCAGGGUUAGUCGGUCCCUAAGACGAGGGCGAGAGCCGUAGUCGAUGGAAACAAGGUUAAUAUUCCUUGACCCGAUGGUAGUGACGGAUUUCGUAAAUUGUUAACUCUUAAUGGAUUGAGUUAGCCGUGAAGAAGUCCCAGGAAAUAGCUCCAUCAUAGGACCGUACCCUAAACCGACACAGGUGGAUUAUUAGAGUAUAAUUAGGCGCUUGAGAGAAUGAUGUUGAAGGAACUCGGCAAAAUGCCUCCGUAACUUCGGAAGAAGGAAGGCCCAAUUAUAGGCAACUAAUAUUGGGUGGCACAAGCUAGGGAGAAGCGACUGUUUAUCAAAAACACAGCCCUCUGCUAACACGUAAGUGGAUGUAUAGGGGGUGACGCCUGCCCGGUGCUGGAAGGUUAAUGCGGUUGGUGCAAGCUAACUUCUGAAGCCCCAGUAAACGGCGGCCGUAACUAUAACGGUCCUAAGGUAGCGAAAUUCCUUGACGGGUAAGUUCCGUCCUGCAUGAAUGGCGUAACGAUUUCUCCGCUGUCUCCAACAUCAACUCAGUGAAAUUGAAUUCUCCGUGAAGAUGCGGAGUUCCCGUGGUUAGACGGAAAGACCCCGUGCACCUUUACUACAACUUUAUAUUGGUGUUAGGAAUGACAUAUUUAGCUUAGGAGGGAGACUUUGAAGUUUUGGCGCCAGCCAAGAUGGAGUCGUCAGUGAAAUACCUCUUUUGUUAUUCUUGACAUCUAACUGCUAGCCGUAAUCCGGCAGCAAGACAUUGUAUGGUGGGUAGUUUGACUGGGGCGGUCGCCUCCCAAAAAGUAACGGAGGCGUGCGAAGGUAGGCUCAGAACGGUCAGAAAUCGUCGUAGA
rnacentral:rRNA from 1 species